rnacentral:rRNA from 1 species
GAUGAACGCUGGCGGCGUGCCUAAUACAUGCAAGUCGAACGAAACUUCUUUAUCACCGAGUGCUUGCGCUCACCGAUAAAGAGUUGGGUGGCGAACGGGUGAGUAACACGUGGGCAACCUGCCCAAAAGAGGGGGAUAACACUUGGAAACAGGUGCUAAUACCGCAUAACCAUAGUUACCGCAUGGUAACUAUGUAAAAGGUGGCUAUACUACCGCUUUUGGAUGGGCCCGCGGCGCAUUAGCUAGUUGGUAGGGUAAAGGCUUACCAAGGCAAUGAUGCGUAGCCGAAUUGAGAGGUUGAUCGGCCACAUUGGGACUGAGACACGGCCCAAACUCCUACGGGAGGCAGCAGUAGGGAAUCUUCCACAAUGGGCGAAAGCCUGAUGGAGCAACGCCGCGUGGGUGAAGAAGGUCUUCGGAUCGUAAAACCCUGUUGUUAGAGAAGAAAGUGCGUGAGAGUAACUGUUCACGUUUCGACGGUAUCUAACCAGAAAGCCACGGCUAACUACGUG